rnacentral:sRNA from 1 species
UACUCUGGCUGACCUUCGUCAUCGUGGGACUGACUUUGGUGGAAGUCUUUGGUUACUUAUCAUUACUGUGUUUCGAGAAGUUAUAAAUUUGCCAUCUCCCUCGCACAAGUUACCUUUCUGUGUCUUUCCUGAAGACUAUCUUCCUCUCAAAAUGGACAUGAUGGAUCCACGGAUGUACAGCAGAGAGCCAGGAGGUCCAACCGCCGUAGACAGGAAGGAAUUAAAAUUGUCCUGGAAGCCAUCUUUACUUUAUGGAGACAGGUGAAACCAAAGUUCGAGCUAAAAUCCAUAAGAUGAAGGUGACAACAAAAGUCAACCGUCAUGACAAAAUCAAUGGAAAGAGGAAGACCGCCAAAAACAUCUGAGGAAACUAAGCAUGAAAGAACGUGAGCAUGCAGAAAAGGAGAGGCAGCUAUCAGAGGCAGAGGAAAAUGGGAAAUUGGAUAUGAAAGAAAUACACACCUACAAGUGAGUUCAGAAACUGAACCCCACCCUCUUGGGAAACGCCCAUUGGAGUGUUGUUUUUAACCUUUGUACAAUGUUUAGACCCAGUAAAUGCAUAAAUAGAAACAAAUGGUCAGAAGACAUAUCGUGAGAGAGAGAGAGAGUUCACAAAACAGAAAACAAAGUACCUUAAUAUUUACCAGUGACCAAAAGAUGUGAAGCAGCAAAACGUCUCCUGACCCCAUUGCCAGCUAGACUGUGUGGAAACUCGGUUCAUACCAGCCAUUCUAGGGGUGGGGUGAGUUGUUGUCAUCCUUAGGAAAGUGUGUUGUUGUAGGAUCAACCACAUCCUUCAAAAGGACUAUGCCUGUUUAUAAGCCCAGCUGUUUCUGCCCUGUGAAACACGGUAAGGAUAUUAAUACAAAGAGAAUACAGCUUUAUGAUAAAAGAUGCUCAAUGAAGGAUGAAUUAGGGAUAUACUGAGAAUGGGGAAGGAAACUAUCAUCUCAGAAGUCAGCAGGCAGUAAGCAAGAGGAGGAAUCAAUAUAGCAACAGUUUGGAUCAGACUGUACAGUUUUUUUGUUUUUGUUUUUGUUUUUCUGAGAUGGAGUCUCGCUGUGUCACCCAGGCUGGAGUGCAAUGACGUGAUCUUGGCUCACUGCAACCUCCGCCUCCCAGGUUCAAGUGAUUCCCCUGCCUCAGCCUCCCGAGUAGCUGGGAUUACAGGUGCCUGCCACCACGCCCGGCUAAUUUUUUGUAUUUUUAGUAGAGAUGGGGUUUCACCGUAUUAGCCAGGAUGGUCUCAAUCUCCUGACCUCGUGAUCCAUCCGCCUCGCCCUCCCAGAGUGCUGGGAUUACAGGCGUCAGCCACCGUGACCGGCUCAGACUGUACUCUUAUAGCCAUCUGAAAUACGUUUUCUAGGAAAAUGUUUCAACGUGCGCAAGUUGCGGCGGCGGGCAGAGGACUACUACAAAUGCAAAAUCCCCCCUUCUGCAAGAAAGCCUCUUUGCAACUGGGUAAGUUUGCUUGUUUUCCUUGCUUUUGGACAUAGUCUGCCAGGUCAGGACAUGGAUACAUUUUUCUCCCUACGCUCUGUGCUCAAGCCCUGCAGAGGGAGAUGGCAGAGAGAAGGCUGCCUACAAGCAUCACAGUCCCAUCCCUGUUGGUAACCGUGUUGUGCAAAAACACCUUCAUCCCCACCCAGUGGGGCCCCGAUCUAAUAUUCUAAGUGUCAGAGGUUCCGUAUUUGUAAUAGCAAAUGGGCCCUGACUGUAAAUUAGUGAAGAGUGAAUGUAACUUAUUACCCACAGGGACAAUUCCAAAUGAAGGCCUUAAAUGAUGCUCAGCUAAGCUGGUUCUUGUGUGGCCUCUGUACCUUCAAAAGCUGCCGAGUCCUAUGAUUACACGUGAUGGGACUUGUACACUUGAAGUGAAACACAGUUUUAAAACUUGCUUUGUU